rnacentral:rRNA from 1 species
UACGAAGGGGGCUAGCGUUGUUCGGAAUUACUGGGCGUAAAGCGCACGUAGGCGGAUAUUUAAGUCAGGGGCGAAAUCCCGGGGCUCAACCCCGGAACUGCCUUUGAUACUGGAUAUCUUGAGUUCGGAAGAGGUAAGUGGAAUUGCGAGUGUAGAGGUGAAAUUCGUAGAUAUUCGCAGGAACACCAGUGGCGAAGGCGGCUUACUGGUCCGAUACUGACGCUGAGGUGCGAAAGCGUGGGGAGCAAACAGG